AUUGAACGCUGGCGGCAGGCCUAACACAUGCAAGUCGAACGAGUGGCGGACGGGUGAGUAAUGUCUGGGAAACUGCCUGAUGGAGGGGGAUAACUACGGGAAACGGUAGCUAAUACCGCAUACCAUGAGAUGUGCCCAGAUGGGAUUAGCUGGUGGGUGGGGUAACGGCUCACCAAGGCGACGAUCCCUAGCUGGUCUGAGAGGAUGACCGGCCACACUGGGACUGAGACACGGUCCAGACUCCUACGGGAGUCAGCAGUGGGGAAUAUUCCGCAAUGGGCGCAAGCCUGAUGCAGCAACGCCGCGUGAGUGAAGAAGGCUUUCGGGUUGUAAAGCACUGUCAUCAGGGAGGCGUUACCCACAGAGAAAGCACCGGCUAACUACGUGCCAGCAGCCGCGGUAAUUC
rnacentral:rRNA from 1 species